ACUCUCUCCCUGUUCCCUUCCUCUCCCUAAACUUAUUGGUUCCAUGAUGCAUCUGCCAAGGAAGACUAUAAAAGAAUGUGUUUUGUCCCUUGGUCAUAUGAAAAGAGGAAAACAUCAGCUCUGAGCCCAGCACUUCAGCUUCACCACCUGGUAUUCUCUCCCUUUACUCAGACAGCUUCUGAAACCCCAUGCUCUGUUCAGACUACCUUUUGAUGGUCAUUCUAGCCAACUGAAGGGAAGGAGGAGGGGCAAGGUGAAGCAAAGGUGACACAAGA
rnacentral:lncRNA from 1 species